rnacentral:misc_RNA from 1 species
AACACUGUUAACCUGCGGUACCUGCGGAGGGAUCAUUACCGAGUUUACAACUCCCAAACCCCUGUGAACAUACCAAUUGUUGCCUCGGCGGAUCAGCCCGCUCCCGGUAAAACGGGACGGCCCGCCAGAGGACCCCUAAACUCUGUUUCUAUAUGUAACUUCUGAGUAAAACCAUAAAUAAAUCAAAACUUUCAGCAACGGAUCU